rnacentral:tRNA from 4 species
CUGAUUUUAGUUUAUGCUUAGAAUACUAGUUUUGGGGAUUAGAGGACCUUUAUCAGGAAGUUAGA